GCCUGGGGUGAAUGCCUCAUGCCUUGACUUGAGGCAUCGCGGUCCAGCAUCAGAGUGCUGGCUGGGGGGAGCAGGACCAGUUGUAUAAACUCCAGUUUCUCUCAUGUGCAAAUAUGGGGACAGAUCUUUUCGGGUCAGAAUUUGAAGUUUCACCUCUGAGAAGAACACUAUGCGGGGCACUAUGAGGCUGGCAAAGAUGGAAAAGGGCUCCACAUAGUUCUUGCUUGUGAGGCAGAUGAUGUACACUCUCACCACGGAAGGACACCUGUACAGCCCGUCAGGUCUGCCCCCACUGCUCCAGUCCCUGGUUCUCCAGGGUGUAGACAUGGCUGGCACACCAUGGGAGAAGAAGUCAAGUGGAAUCUCGGAGGCUGUCUGGCCCACCUUAGAGUGACAAAACACAGGCACUGCCGGGGUGAUGAGCGCGGCCUGCUGUGGGCGGGGCUUCCACGGCUUUAGCGCUGGAAGUGACACGUUCCGGAGCCCUCUGGGUCUGAGGCAAACCGGGACAGCUGUCACUGCGGUCCCCAGCCAACACCCCGUUCACCGAUGCACACGGAGUCCCUGCUCCGGUUCCAUCUAUAAUUGGCCGUCUGUUCCCUGCAGAGAAAUGGAGUUCUCCUUACCCACCUGAGGCAGGUGUGCCCCUUUAAGCACAAUCCCCAGGAGCUGGGGUGCGUCCGUCCACUGCGCUCACUUGGAGCCAGAAGUGCUCUUCAGCCUUCUUCUCUGUGACUGAGUCAGCGGGUCUAUUUCAUCAUAAAUACUCAAUUCUACGUGACAACCAAGGACAGAAGGAAAGAAAGGGAAAUUUGGUGGAAGAUGACCAGGAUCUGAGUUCAGAGAAAAGAGAAAGAAGUUAAUAUUUUAGAAUAUCCAUUUGGGGCCUAGCAGGGGGGAGACAUCUUCCAAUAGUUUUUUUGUGUGGUUCUUGGAAAAAUUAAGUGUGACAUUGGAUACGUUACUGAAUCUCUUUUUUAAAAAUCAUCUGCAAAAGGUCGAUGCAUUAAAAAGAAACUAGCCACCUCACAUAACAUCUUUUUAUAUUUAUUGAUUGUGAUGUUUUCCAUGACUUGCACUUUGACAUAUUUCUUUGAAAUUCCUCCAUCCCUUCACUUGGAAGAUCCUUUGAAUUUUGUUGAAGUGAUACAUAAAAGCCUGACUAAAUUAAAAAAGAAAAAAGGUGUGAUUGGUGAAGCAUUGUGGUAUGAGGAAGAGAAAUGCUGUCUUUUUAGUUUUAUCUUUUUAAGAAAUCAGCAAAUCAUCUGUAUCAUUUUA